AUCGGCGGACGAACGAUGCCUGCCACGAUCGAUACUGGAGCCACUCGAAGCUUCAUGAGUGAAGACUGCGUACGCAAGUGGACGAUUCGG